rnacentral:rRNA from 1 species
GACGAACGCUGGCGGCGUGCUUAACACAUGCAAGUCGAACGGUAAGGCUCCAGCUUGCUGGGGUACACGAGUGGCGAACGGGUGAGUAACACGUGGGUGACUUGCCCUGCACUUCGGGAUAAGCCUGGGAAACUGGGUCUAAUACCGGAUAGGACCAUGGUGUGGAUACUGUGGUGGAAAGUUUUUUCGGUGUGGGAUGGGCCCGCGGCCUAUCAGCUUGUUGGUGGGGUAAUGGCCUACCAAGGCGGCGACGGGUAGCCGGCCUGAGAGGGUGGACGGCCACAUUGGGACUGAGACACGGCCCAGACUCCUACGGGAGGCAGCAGUGGGGAAUAUUGCACAAUGGGCGGAAGCCUGAUGCAGCGACGCCGCGUGGGGGAUGACGGCCUUCGGGUUGUAAACUCCUUUCACCAUCGACGAAGGGUUUCUGACGGUAGAUGGAGAAGAAGCACCGGCUAACUACGUG